GACGAACGCUGGCGGCGUGCUUAACACAUGCAAGUCGAACGAAGUGGCGGACGGGUGAGUAACGCGUAAACAACCUGCACUUCAAAGGGGGACAACAGUUGGAAACGACUGCUAAUACCGAAUACUGUCGGAGGGGAUUGCGUCUGAUUAGCUAGUUGGAGGGGUAACGGGCCACAAAGGCGGUGAUCAGUAGCCCGUCUGAGAGGAUGAUCGGCCACAGUUGUACUGGGACACGGCCCAGACUCCUACGGGAGGCAGCAGUGGGGAAUCUUCCGCAAUUGACGAAAGUCUGACGGAGCAACGCCGCGUGAGUGAUGACGGCCUUCGGGUUGUAAAGCUCUGUUAAUCGGGACGCGGUACCGGAAUAGAAAGCCACGGCUAACUACGUGCCAGCAGCCGCGGUAAUUC
rnacentral:rRNA from 1 species